GCCUGCUGAGGUGCGGCAAGAGCUGCCGGCCGGCUCCGACGGAUCAAUUACCUGCGGCCGGACAUCAAGCGCGACAACUUCUCCGAUGAGGAGGAGCAGUCAAUCAUCCAACUUCAUCAGAUGCUCGGCAACAGGUUAUCUUCUCUGCCUUUGGAUUUACUGGUGACCUGAUGAGUACUUCAGGUUCACGAACUGGAUCAUCAUGUGUGGGAGAGCCUGUGUCUCCACUCUGCCCCUGUGAAAAUAUGGAAGUGAUGAUACAGUGGAUUUCAUUGGCCAUGCACUUGCCCUCCAUAGGAAGGAUCGUCACCUCAAUGAACCCGCAUUGAGAUGAUACAGUGGAAUCUAUAAGAAUCAUUACAAAUUACUGUAUUGAAAAGGAUUACUCGGUAAG